AAGCUCGUAGUUGAAUUUCGGGGUCAGUAGGUUGGUCGUGCCACCGGUACGUACUGGUCUCACUGAUUCCUCCUUCCUGAUGAGCUGUAAUGCCAUUAAUUUGGUGUUACAGGGAAUCUGGACUGUUACUUUGAAAAAAUUAGAGUGUUUAAAGCAGGCUAACGCUUGAAUACAUUAGCAUGGAAUAAUGAAAUAGGACGUUCGAUCCUAUUUUGUUGGUUUCUAGGAUUGACGUAAUGAUUAAUAGGGAUAGUGGG
rnacentral:rRNA from 1 species